rnacentral:rRNA from 1 species
GUGAGGAAUAUUGGUCAAUGGACGAAAGUCUGAACCAGCAACGCCGCGUGAGGGAUGAAGGUCUAAGGAUCGUAAACCUCUGUUAGAGGAGACGAAUGAUCUCGAAUUGGCGAGAUUUGACGGUAUCCUCAGAGAAAGCCCCGGCUAACUCCGUGCCAGCAGCCGCGGUAAUACGGGGGGGGCUAGCGUUGUCCGGAAUUAUUGGGCGUAAAGGGCGCGUAGGCGGAAUUGUAAGUCAGUGGUUAAAUUUCGGGACUUAACUCCGAAUCUGCCUCUGAGACUGCGAUUCUUGAGUGCGAAAGAGGAAAGCGGAAUUCCCGGUGUAGCGGUGAAAUGCGUAGAUAUCGGGAAGAACACCAGUAGCGAAGGCGGCUUUCUGGUUCGCAACUGACGCUGAGGCGCGAAAGCGUGGGUAGCAAACAGGAUUAGAUACCCGAGUAGUCC